AUUCUUACAUUUGCAGCACAUAUACUAUUACUGGCAUGAUACAGAAAAGAUUAGCAUGCCCCCUGGGUGCAGGGAUGACAUGCAAAUUCAUGACUUUUCCAUAUUUGU